rnacentral:rRNA from 1 species
UACGUAGGUGGCAAGCGUUGUCCGGAAUUAUUGGGCGUAAAGCGCGCGCAGGCGGUUUCUUAAGUCUGAUGUGAAAGCCCACGGCUCAACCGUGGAGGGUCAUUGGAAACUGGGAAACUUGAGUGCAGAAGAGGAGAGUGGAAUUCCACGUGUAGCGGUGAAAUGCGUAGAGAUGUGGAGGAACACCAGUGGCGAAGGCGACUCUCUGGUCUGUAACUGACGCUGAGGCGCGAAAGCGUGGGUAGCGAACAGG